rnacentral:misc_RNA from 1 species
GAUGAAGAACGCAGCGAAAUGCGAUAAGUAGUGUGAAUUGCAGAAUUCAGUGAAUCAUCGAAUCUUUGAACGCACAUUGCGCCCCUUGGUAUUCCAUGGGGCAUGCCUGUUCGAGCGUCAUUUGUACCUUCAAGCAUUGCUUGGUGUUGGGUGUUUGUCCUGAGGGACUCGCCUUAAAGUAAUUGGCAGCCAGUGUUUGGUUUUGAAGCGCAGCACAAGUCGCGAUUCAAAGCUAUACGCCCGCUUCCACAAGCCUUUUUCACUUUUGACCUCGGAUCAGGUAGGGAUACCCGCUGAACUUAAGCAUAUCAAUAAGCGGAGGA